UACGGGGGGGGCAAGCGUUGUUCGGAAUUACUGGGCGUAAAGGGCUCGUAGGUGGCCAACUAAGUCAGACGUGAAAUCCCUCGGCUUAACCGGGGAACUGCGUCUGAUACUGGAUGGCUUGAGUUCGGGAGAGGGAUGCGGAAUUCCAGGUGUAGCGGUGAAAUGCGUAGAUAUCUGGAGGAACACCGGUGGCGAAGGCGGCAUCCUGGACUGGUAUUGACGCUGAGGCGCGAAAGCCAGGGGAGCAAACGGG
rnacentral:rRNA from 1 species